rnacentral:rRNA from 1 species
AUGAACGCUGGCGGCGUGCCUAAUACCUGCAAGUCGAGCGAACGGACGAGAAGCUUGCUUCUCUGAUGUUAGCGGCGGACGGGUGAGUAACACGUGGAUAACCUACCUAUAAGACUGGGAUAACUUCGGGAAACCGGAGCUAAUACCGGAUGAUAUUUUGAACCGCAUGGUUCAAAAGUGAAAGACGGUCUUGCUGUCACUUAUAGAUGGAUCCGCGCUACAUUAGCUAGUUGGUAAGGUAACGGCUUACCAAGGCAACGAUGCAUAGCCGACCUGAGAGGGUGAUCGGCCACACUGGAACUGAGACACGGUCCAGACUCCUACGGGAGGCAGCAGUAGGGAAUCUUCCGCAAUGGGCGAAAGCCUGACGGAGCAACGCCGCGUGAGUGAUGAAGGUCUUCGGAUCGUAAAACUCUGUUAUUAGGGAAGAACAUAUGUGUAAGUAACUGUGCACAUCUUGACGGUACCUAAUCAGAAAGCCACGGCUAACUACGUG